CUGUUCGACAAGAUAGGAGGGUUCUCUUUCCAGAGAAAACCUUGCAGAAAAUUUCCGAAGACGACAAGCUUCUUCACGAGAAAGAAAGAUAGUAGACUUCUGUCCGUUCAAGCAAGAGAGGAGAAAAUUUCUGGGCCAUUCUCUGGGCGACCUCUGUCCGUUCAAGCAAGAGAGGAGAAAUUUCAGCGGCAGUGAACAGUGAGAAGUGAGAACCAGCCGACCAUCUUCCUCCUCUGCCAUUCUCAAGCAGUUUCAUUUUUCUCAGAGCAGUUUGGAAAUCAGAGUUAGAUACUAUUCUGGAGUUUCAAGUCCAACUGCCCAUUUAGGCAUUUACUGAAAGCUUCUCUGUUAAAAUGAACAUACUGAAGAAACUUAAAGAAAAGGGGACAUGAUCACGAGCAAGUAAAUCAGGGUCCCGCCUGACCACUAGUAACACACCCAAUAUAGAAGAUAUACAGGCACAUGCAAGUCAAGCGAUGGCUCAUACUAGGUUAACACCUAGUGUAGAUGAUACUACAUCACCAACCCAGUCACCAGACUUGGGAAGGCAUGAGGAGUCCUCUAGUGGGCAUGUUGGAGAGGGGUCUUCUCGUACAAUACGUCGGUUAAGAGGCCCCACUAUGGCCCUAGAUAUAUGGAACAUGCCUGAAGGGGAACAAAUUGAAGUUGGGUUUAAUGAAUACAACCAACCCAAUGAUGGAAAAACAAAGGAUUUAAUUAGAUUUUUGGGUAGCCUUGCACGAACUUCAAACUAGUUGCCCAUAGCCAUAGAUGAUUGGAGAGAUUCCUACAGAAACAAAGAAAGACAUAUGGAAACUUAUCAAGAAAAAAUUCAAGGUGAAUGAUGACAUGAAAGACUACACAAUGAAGUCAUUGGGUAAAAAGUGGAGGGAUUGGAAGUCCAAUUUGAAUAAAAAGUAUUAUGACCCUGAUCCGGAUAGUGUAGAUGCACUACCAAUUGAGCAGCUUGAAAAUCGGGUUGAUGCACACCAAUGGAGAAAUUUGGUACAGUUUUGGAGAUCUGAAAAAGGGACUACAAGAUCCAUAACCAACAAAGCUAACCACUCCAAACAAACAAUCAACCACACAGCAGGAGCAAAGAGCUUCGCACGAGUACACGAGGAAUUGAAAAUAGAGAGGGAAGCUGAUGUAUCACGUACGGAUGUAUUUUAUGCAACACACAGGAAAAAGGAUGGAACACUUGUAGAUCCAAGAUCGGGUUCUUUAAUGGAGGAAAUGCAAAAUUGCAUGUCUCAAGAGGAAGACACUCAAAAUGAGGGCAGUGAACAAGGACACGAUGAUGUUUAUGCUCAUGUGAUGGGCCAAGAGCGUCGUGGCCGAGUGCGUGGUAUAGGUUUAGGCCCAAACUCCGUCCAGGUUCAGGGGCCUAUGACAAAGCCAUGAAGAUGCCUUGAGGGCUGCUAAUGAAGGUAAAAGAGCAGUUGAAGAGUGUUCAUAGAAGCUGGAAGAACAAAUUGCAUCAAUGCGAGAACGGAUGGAUGCGAUGGAAGCUCAAUUACUUAAUAGACAGGGAUCGAGGUAAAUCAUCCCAAUUGCGAAGACACUCCUCCACACAUGCUUUUCAAAGUCCCUUUUAUCAUCAAUUUAGCUCCAACAUUGAAUCACAGGUGUUUUUAGAAAAUACAGAAUGUAAUUUGUUGACUUUCAUGCAAGGAGGAUUUGUAUCCGUUGCCAAAGCAACCAUUACAAGUUUAGAUCCUCAGAAGAUUGUGGGUGGUGUGCCACUUGGUUAUGGAUGAACAGAGGUCGUGAUCAAUGUUCCAAUUAUAAGUGAUGCACCAUUAACGCGCCCAUAUGGACGCUAUUAGAACAGUUGGAACCAUUGUUGGUGUUCUAAUUGCUUGGAGUUCAAUCCAUGUUCAUUCCUUAUGCUAAGCGGAUUUGCAUCUAUUCCCGGUGUCUCUUUAGAAAAGUAUGGAAUGAUUGUGUCCAAUAAAAUUCUCCUUAAUUCUCCUUUUCCUGUGGAAGUUCAUUGUACCCCCUCAACCCACCUUCAAUGCUGUCUCGCUCAACUUUGAUGGCUAUUUAUUGGGGCAUAAGUAUCAUGUAACAACUUUAACAGUUUUUAUUCUUGUUUCUUGGGGCCUAUAGGUGUUGGAAAUACUAUUAUAGUGAAGAUCUGUAUUAGUCAGGGACUUGUUUAUCAAUGUUAUUGGCUCUGAGAACCUAGUGGUGAAAGGUGAAUUGCAUGCCUCAAGCUGGUGCAGCCUGCAACUUAUUAAUGAGAAAGAAAAGAGAUAGGAGAAGGAAAAAUGGUGCACCUGCACCCCCAAGAACAAUAAAACAUGAAGGGUAGUCCCUAAGCCAUCUUUCCCCAACUAAGCAACUCAAAGAUCAUAAGGAUUACACUGAUAAAAAAACGAUCAUAAGGGCAGAGAAGGUUUUCAACCAAGAUCUAUAUUUCAAGAAGACUGUCAAAUAUGUUAGAGAACCAAUGACCCACUUGGAAUCCAUUGCUUCUUCUGCGGUACGUGCGGCAAUUAAGGUGAAGGCUUCUGUUAUUACUUGUUUCACCUCAUCUGGAAGGGCUGCUAGAUUGAUUGCAAGGUAUAGGUCAACAAUGCCUGUUAUUAUCAGUUGUCAUCCCUCGCCUCAAAACAAAUCAACUUAAAUGGAGUUUUACUGGUGCCUUUGAGGUCAACAGAUCCUACAAGUUUGGGCACUGUUAGAGUUGACAUCUCAGAAAGGAAUUUCAGAGCUCUUUGGUUGCUGGUGUUCCAUUGACUAGUGUUCUUGAGCCCACACAGGCACAAUGCCAUGAUGUUUCUGGAUAUUGUAAUAAUUAAUAAUUUAAUUAAAAGUUUU